rnacentral:rRNA from 1 species
GAUGAACGCUAGCGGGAGGCUUAACACAUGCAAGUCGAGGGGCAGCACGAGGUAGCAAUACUUUGGUGGCGACCGGCAGACGGGUGAGUAACGCGUAUGUAACCUACCCUGUACUGGGGGAUAACCCGGAGAAAUUCGGACUAAUACCCCAUAGAGAUAUAGAGAGGCAUCUUGAAAUAUUUAAAGUUUCGACGGUACGGGAUGGGCAUGCGUAACAUUAGCUAGUUGGUAAGGUAACGGCUUACCAAGGCUUUGAUGUUUAGGGGUCCUGAGAGGGUGAUCCCCCACACUGGUACUGAGACACGGACCAGACUCCUACGGGAGGCUG